UGAGAAGUCAAGGCAGGAACUCCAUCAGGGCU
rnacentral:piRNA from 1 species